rnacentral:rRNA from 1 species
UCCAGACUCCUACGGGAGGCAGCAGUGGGGAAUAUUGCACAAUGGGGGAAACCCUGAUGCAGCGACGCCGCGUGAGUGAAGAAGUAUUUCGGUAUGUAAAGCUCUAUCAGCAGGGAAGAAAAUGACGGUACCUGACUAAGAAGCCCCGGCUAACUACGUGCCAGCAGCCGCGGUAAUACGUAGGGGGCAAGCGUUAUCCGGAUUUACUGGGUGUAAAGGGAGCGUAGACGGCAUGGCAAGUCAGAUGUGAAAGCCCGGGGCUCAACCCCGGGACUGCAUUUGAAACUGUCAGGCUGGAGUGCAGGAGGGGCAGGCGGAAUUCCUGGUGUAGCGGUGAAAUGCGUAGAUAUCAGGAGGAACACCGGUGGCGAAGGCGGCCUGCUGGACUGCGACUGACGUUGAGGCCCGAAAGCGUGGGGAGCAAACAGGAUUAGAUACCCUCGUA